UACGAAGGGGGCUAGCGUUGCUCGGAAUCACUGGGCGUAAAGGGUGCGUAGGCGGGUCUUUAAGUCGGGGGUGAAAUCCUGGAGCUCAACUCCAGAACUGCCUUCGAUACUGGAGAGCUUGAGUCCGGGAGAGGUGAGUGGGAACUGCGAGUGUAGAGGUGAAAUUCGUAGAUAUUCGCAAGAACACCAGUGGCGAAGGCGGCUCACUGGCCCGGUACUGACGCUGAGGUGCGAAAGCGUGGGGAGCAAACAGGG
rnacentral:rRNA from 1 species